GUGGGUAUGGCCCAGCUGGUUAAGGCGCCUGGUUGUGGCCCAGGAGACCGAGAGUUCGAAUCUCUCUACUCACCCCA
rnacentral:tRNA from 1 species